rnacentral:rRNA from 1 species
UACAGAGGUGGCAAGCGUUGUUCGGAAUUACUGGGCGUAAAGGGCGCGUAGGCGGUCAGCACAAGUCAGUUGUGAAAUCUCCGGGCUUAACUCGGAAAGGUCAACUGAUACUGUGCGACUAGAGUGCAGAAGGGGCAACUGGAAUUCUCGGUGUAGAGGUGAAAUUCGUAGAUAUCGGGAGGAACACCAGUGGCGAAAGCGGCGACCUGGCCAAUAUUGACGCUGAGGUGCGAAAGCGUGGGGAGCAAACAGG